GGAGCAUCUCUUUUUCUGGAGUCUUUUUCAAACAGAGCAUGGGUUCCUCCAGGUCUAAAAUGGUCAAGGGCCAAUCUGAAGGUUAGGAUAGCACUAGUUUAUCUGGUAAAACCCUUGAGGAUCUGUGGAUCUGUGGUCUCUCAAUUCAUCAUCUGAGGACAGGGAGACAUAGUCCUGAGGAGUUGAGGUCAUAGUUCCUGUAAGAAAGUUGAGAUGGGCCAGGUGCAGUGGCUCAUGCCUGUAAUCCUAGCACUUUGGGAGGCUAAGGUGUGCAGAUCACUUGAGGUCAGGAGUUCGAGACCAGCCUGGCCAACAUGGUGAAGCCCCAUCUCUACUAAAAAUACAAAAAUUGGCCAGGUGUGGUGAUGCAUGUCUGUAAUCCCAGCUACUUGGGAGACUGAGGCACAAGAAUUGCUUGAACUCAGAAGGCAGAGGCUGCAGGGGGCUGAGAUCAUGUCACUGCACUACACUCCGGCCUGGGCAACAGAGCAAGACUCCAUCUCAAAAAAAAAAAAAAAAGAAAAGAAAAGAAAGUUGAGAUGCUUUGGCAUUGACCCGUUUUGUUGAAGUUCCCUCUUACUGCUUUUGUGAGACUUUUGUGAGAACAAUCACCUUCCUGAUUGUUCUUUCUCCCCAGACUGACUGCCCCAGUCUAGUGUUGACCACCAACACCUCUGUCAUAGCUCUCACCCCUCUCCAGGCUCUGAUGUCACAGACCCUGCAGUCACUUUGGAUUUAGUAAAUUCACUAAACAUCCCUUUACUCACUCCCCCAAGUCAAUCUCCCCUGCCCCAGUUCCAUGGUUCUUUUCUGAACCCUCUUUUCUUCUGUAUUCUUUUGCCAUCGGACAGCUUCAGGUCUCCGAACAUCAUGCAUGGUCUCCUAGUUGUCGAUGUGCAAUGGGUAUUUCUCUUCUCUAAACCUUCCCGAGUCCUGCUAAAAUGAUGAAGUGAUGAGCUGAGUGCCAAGAACAGCUAUCACAGCUCCUUAGGGCAUGGGCACCAAAGAUCCAUUUCCUCGUCUUGGGUUCAUGGCUCUCCUACAUUUCCUGGUCUCCUAGGUAUUCAGAUGUAACAGUUAAUUGAGUUCCAGGAAGUGGAAUGUGAGUGAAAUGAGCAACACUUAAAGAAAAACACCAGCUAUAAGCAGACAACAGUGCAGCUUAGGAGAUGACAGCUUUGGAAAUGAAGGCCCCGGGGUCCCUGAAUUCCUGAGAGGAAGAAAGCAACCCACCAAUGACAUCAGACGUUGAGCUACAUCAGCAAGAAAUUAACCUGCAUUGUGUUUGAAAAUAUCUGGGUCUCUUUAUUACCACAGCCUAGCCUAGCCUAAGAAAACCCAUUUCAAAUCCAAACUCCUCGAUCUGAUCUUUAAGGUCUUCUAUAAGUUAUCCCUUCCCCUGUCUGGUUUCAUUUUCCACUGCUCUCUUCUCUCCAUCCUGGUCAUCCUUGCCUCUCUCCCAGCCCUGAGAAGGCUCACUCUUGACUUCCUGCUCAAGCUUCCUGGUUCUCCUGCCCUCUACCUCUUUCCUUUGCUGAUCUCAAUCUCUAACCCUUCCAGGAAGAUUCUCAGAUAAUUCUGCCCCACACACCUCUCUCUCUUCACUGAAUUCAUAGAUCAGUAAUUGUUUCAUUUGUGCUUGUUUUCUCUUCCUUCUCAAGGGCAAGAACCGUCUUUGUGUAUAUUCCUCAAUGCUUGGUAUAAAGCAGGAGAUAGAUAGAUAGAUAGAUAGAUAGAUAGAUAUAGUGUGUGUGUGUGUGUGUGUGUGUGUGUGUGUGUGUGUGUGUGUGUUUGUGUGUGCUGAGUACAGUCUAUGGCCCCCAGAUUCUAUUCCUUGACAUGAAUAACAUGAAGUAUGUUCUCUAAUAGAUAAUUUUUUCAUUCAACAGGAGAUUGAUUCACUGGAUGUCAUUGUUAUAAAAAGCAACAGUGAAAGCUGCAGGGAACACAGUACAAAGUAAUGCACCUUCAGCACAGAUGUUGGAAUAGGAGACGCUAUUACUUGAUUUGUUCCUGUCUUGGCUAGUUGAUGAGGCUGCUGAUGUAGCCUUGACAUUUUCACUUCCUCUUGACAUAUUUUGUUCUCUGUCAACAUUCAACUUUCAACACUGGGCUCUGAGACUGAACAUACCCAGGGAAGUACAGGACAGGACCUCUGGAGCAAAGAGUUCCCACUGUCUCACUUGACUUUAAGUCUCAAAGUUGACUUUCUUUGUCUAUCAGGACAAUCAUCCUGAAAGUCAGGCUUUGUGCAGAGAGGAAAUUUUUCCAAAUCUCAAAUAUUUCCCUUGAGCAUGUUAGGAACCAAGCCCUGCUGUGCCUCUAUCAAAGAGCAGUGGAGAGAACAGACAGUCUGGAAGAGGGAGGAUUUGGGGCAGAGGCAGUCCUUGCCAAAGAGCAUAAUAAGGUGAAAUGCCAGCACCUUCUGGCUCUCUGCAACGUGGGAAGCACUGUGGGUCUAAUAUCAGUAUACCCAGAAUUCCUUCUCCAGGAGAAGAGAGGUGCCAGGUUGAGAGGGAGGCUUUUGGUGCACUCCUUGUUGGGACCCUGGGGUGGGGAGACCACCUCAAAGGGUGCCCCCUUCAUUGUCAUGGAGCUGCUGGCACAUCAGCUUCACCAAGGCAGGGAUCUUAGUUUUGUUCCCUGAUCAUGAGCAUCCAGAACAGUGCCUGGGACAUACUAGGGGCUCAAUAUAUAGUUCUGGGUUGACUACAUCAGAGUAAAAUGGAUGGGAUCUGCCUUUGUGCAGAGUUCCCCCACGUGGUUUCAAAGGAUUCCAGGAGUCCCUGCGUGUGGAGAGCUGGAUGACCAGAGGGGACUGGUUGGGUGAGCUAACGCUGGGUGUUGCCACAGUGGAAGCUUCAAGGAGGACCUUUUGGGCUGGAGGGCAGCAGUGCUCUGGGACAGUCACAGGCAGACAUUCAACAUCAGUUAGAGACAGCGGGGGCUGAGUCAGCCUUAGGAGUGCUCGGCGAACCUUCUGCCUAAGAUCUGCGGAGUCUGCCAGACACCCCAUCACCCCUGUAAAUUGCCUGAUUCUGCCAGAAGAUACUGGACCCUUCACCUACAUCUCCAGUCAUGAGACUUCCCUCCUACAGGGAGGCUUUUGUUUAGCUGGGCUGAAGUGCUGAGAAAGGGCCCCGGUGGCAGAGGGUCCCAAACACAUGUUAGUGAAAGAACAGCUUCCAUGGACUGCUGAGCAAGUGCUGGGUUCAUUCAUACAACAAUCCUGUCCAGCCUACUCCAAUGCAGUAUGAAAUUCUGGGACCUCCAAGGGAGCAAAUUACACAUAUACACAGGACCACAGUAGCCCUGAUUCACCCAAGAAUCUCCACUGCCACAAAAUGAGGAUACAACAAGGGGAGGACAAGUCAAUAAACAUUUCUCUAGCACUGGGUUAGGAGUCUUCUGUGUGUUAUUGAACUGUGAGAAGGCGUGUAAGAAAGAACAUGCCUUUCUUGUGAAAUGGAUUUUACGAUCUCCACUAUAGAGCUGAAGACCUCCAGGCUCACACCUGUGACAAAUUGGCCAGACUUUUCUGGCACCAAGGACUGCCCUCUUUCAUCAAGUUACCCAGCAGACAAUCAAAGGUGUCAGCUUUCUUCACCAAGGUUUGAUAAUGUUCUAGGGCCCUGGGGAGAGCAAGAGGAGCCUCCGGUAAAAUUGUGAAAUGAGUGAGGUUUGGAUUGGACUCCUUAUAGCAAUCUUCUUCCUACUCGGACAUCCGGCAAGUCCCUUUGCUGACCUCCUUUCACCCCCAGGGCUACUGGCAGAGAAUCCCUGAAAACCAAAAGGGUUGAAGAUGUUAUCUUUUCUAGAGGACACUCAGAGAACAAAAAGGCUUAGAGCUUAAAUUGUGGCAUUUCAGGCUCUAAGAGGGGCAGUGUCUACAAACACCUUAAGUUGCGUUCCCAGCACUUCCCCAGAAGGCAAAAAGAAACUACCUGGAGCACGUUGGAUAUGGGGCUCUAGUUCUGAGACUGAAAAAUCCCAGUUCUCUGCUGAAGUUUGAGGCAUUUAGAACAGCUCCCCUCCCGACCCAAAGGAUGAUUUACUGCAUGGAAGGAGGCUCUUCAGUAUCAUGUGCACAGUGCCACAGCAUUGUAUCUGCCGUCACACCCCGUAUGUUCAGUGCGGCCAUGAGAAAUCAAGGCAUAGGACUGGUGAAGCAUGAGGCACAUGCCCUCCCAAAUUGGGAGUAAAACAAUGUCCCAGGCACCACUACUUUCUUAAACAUUGCUCUGAAAGUGCUAGUCAAUAUAUUUACACAAGGCCAGGUGCAGUGGCUCAUGCCUGUAAUCCCAGCACUUUGGGAGGCUGAGACAGGCAGAUCUCCUGAGGUCAGCAGUUCAAGACCAGCCUGGGCAACAUGGUGAAACCCUGUCUCUACUAAAAAUACAACAAUUAGCUGGGCAUGGUGGCAGAAACCUGUAAUCUCAGCUACUCGGGAGGCUGAGGCAGGAGAAUCGCUUGAACCUGGGAGGCGGAGGUUGCAGUGAGCCAAGAUCACGCCACUGCACUCCAGCCUCGGUGACCGAGUGAGACUCCAGUUUGUCUAAUAUAAAAAUAUGUAUAUAUAUAUAGUCUAAUAUAAAUAUAUAUUUUGUCUAAUAUAAGUAUAUAUUAUAUACAUUUUGUCUAAUGUAAAUAUAUAUAUUUUGUCUAAUAUAAAUAUAUAUAUUUUUGUCUAAUAGAAAUACAAAUAUAUUUUGUCUAAUAUAUAUAUUAGACAAAAGAGUGAAGAAAUAUAAUUUCAACAUUUUAAAAAGGAAGGAAACUCAUUGUUUGUAAGGGAUCUGAUCACAUCAUUGAAAUGUGCAAGAAAAUAAAAUUAUUGGAAAUACUGAAUUCCGUAAGGUUGACAGAUUUUUUUAAAUGCAAAAUUAAUGUCUUUAGACACAAAUGAUCACCACUGAAACAUCCAGAAAUUCCACUUUUAGAAAUCAUCUGAGAAAAUAAUAAGUGCACAAAGAUACAGUCGUAAAAUCAACUUCAGCGUUCAUCAUCGGACAGUUGUUUCAAUGAACUGUGGUUCAUCUAGACAAUGGAAUGCAUAGCCCUUAAAAAUAUUACUGUGGAUCUACAUUUACUGAAAUGGAAAGAUUCCCAUACUAUGGGAUGGUAUGAUAAGCAUGAUAUAAAGUUCUGAAAUUAUAGUGAUAUUAAACUUUUUUAAUACAUUAGGAUUUAAACUUUUAUGUACCAAUAUCAGAACAAAAGGCCAUAAAAAGAUUAAAAUAUAAUGACAAGCCGAGAAUAGAUUGCAUUUCUAUUAUGAUCACUGGUGUAUUUUCUUCACAACACUUACAUCCACUUGAAUUAUAUAUAUUUUUUGUUUUUUAUUAUCUUUCAUUCUCACUAACCUAAAGUGAGGGAAUGUAAGUUUACUGUUGCACACCAGAACCUUGAACAUCAUGAGUAUUUGUUGCAUAAAUUAUGAAUAAAUUCCACUUCUGCACAUUAUGUAUCUCAAUUUCUCUAUAUAUACAUGAUAUAGAGGGAUGUCUGAAAAGAUAAUUCACCCAAAGGCUGGCAUUGGUUGGCUCUAUGUGUUGGAAUUCUCUGUCUCCCUCACCCCUCAAUCCUGGCUCUGUCUACAUACCCAUAAAUACAAAAAUAAUACAGGAAUGUAUUCUCCUCAUUCUUUUUUUUUUUUUUUUGAGAUGACCUCGCUCUCUUGCCUAAGCUGGAGUACAGUGGCACAAUCUUGGCACUCUACCUCCUGGGUUCAAGCAAUUCUGGUGCCUCAGCCUCCUGAAUAGCUGGAACUACAGGUGUGAGCCACCGCACUUGGCUAAUUUUUGUACUUUUUGGUAUAAAUGGGGUUUCGCCAUGUUGGCCGGGCUGAUCUCGAACUCCUGGCCUCAAGUGAUUCAUCUGCCUUGGCCUCCCAAAGAUCUGAGGUUACAGGUGUGAGCCACCUCACUCAGCCUGAAUAGAUUCUCAAUCUUUUAACUCCCAGCAAUAUGGAAUAAACUGCAUAGAUGAAAACACAGAAGUUCUUUUUAUUUCUCUCUUCUGCCCACCCCACCAAAUCCUAUCUUCCUCCCCAGAGAUAACUAUCAUUUUCAGUUUUGUUUGUGUCCUUCCAGACUUUAAAGACACAUCUAGACUGACAGUUUUAGUUGUAUGUAUUCUUUAAAUUAAGUGAGACUAGUCCAUGUAUAUUAUUCUGCAAUUUGCUUUUUUCAUUUGGCAAUAUUGAAAUUCUUUCUGUGCCAGUACAUAUAACUUUCCUGUCCUUUUUUUUUUUGUUUGUUUGAGACAGAGUCUCGCCCUGUCACCCAGGCUGGAAUGCAAUGGCACGAUCUCAGCUCACAGCAACCUCCGCUUCCCUGGUUCAAACGAUUCCACUGCCUCAGCCUCCCAAGUAGCUGGGAUUUACAGGCGCCUGCCACCAUGCCCAGCUAAUUUUUGUAUUUUUAGUAGAGAUGGGGUUUCCCAUGUUGGCCAGGCUGGUCUCGACCUCCUGACCUUGUGAUCCACCCAUCUUGGUCUCCCAAACUGCUGGGAUUACAGGCGUGAGCCACCGCGCCUGGCCUCCUGUCCUUUUUAGCUGCUGCAUGGUCACCAUUAAUAUGCAUGUAUUACCAAAUAUAGAUGCAUUCUGGUUUGUUUUAUGUGCAUUUAGUCAGCAUCCAGUCUUUUGCAAUCGCAAGCCAUGGUGCACCAGUGAACACCUUGUUUGGUUCCCUUUGUAAACGUUGUGUGUAUUCUCUGAAUACAUGUUUUGAAGUGGAAUCGCCAGGUAAAAUAAUGCAUUCAUUUUAAGUAUUGAUAGUUUCUGCCGAACUGUCUUUCACAAACGUGACACUAACUUACCUCUCCCCUCAUCUUAGGUGAGAAAGCCAUUUCUCUACCCUCUUGUCAACAUAGAAUCAUAUCACAAAUCUUCUAAUGUUUUGCUGGUUUGACAGGGAAGGACUAUAUCUUUAUGUUUUUUGUUAUAAUUUUUUUAAAUUAAAAAAAAUUUUUAUACCAACGAGGCUGGUCUCAAACUCCUGAGCUCAAGGAGUUUCUCUUUAUGUUGUUUUAGUCUGCAUUUCUCCGAUCACUAACAAAGUUGAUCACUUUUACCUACGCUUUUAAGACAUUUCUUCUGGAAAAUUCAUGUUCAUAAGCUUCGUCCAUUUUCUUCUUUGGUUGUUUAUCUUUUGAUUAAUGGUUUACAAGAUUUUUAACAACAAAUACUUCGAUUAUUGAUAUUAUCUUACAUAUUUAAAACCUCCUCUUUCUCAAGAUCCGGAAAAUAUGUAUCUAUGUGUUCUUCUAAUGGUUGUUAGUUUUGCUUUUCAUAUUUAGCACUAUAAUACAUCUAUUAUUUCUUUGUGUUUAUGUUGUGAAAUAAAAAUUUAACUGAAAAACAUUCCCAAGUCAAUAACCAAUUGCUCUAACACCAUUAAGUGAAAAUAUUUUCUAUUUUCUCAUUUGGACUAUCACCUUUGUCAAGUAUGAAUUGAUGGCAUGAUUUUUACUUGAAUUUAUUAUACAUGUUUUUAUUUUUGAAUGCACUGUUAUAAGCUACAGCAGGCUGGACGCAGUGGCUCAUGCCUGUAAUCCCAGCACUUUGGGAGGAAAAGCAGUUAUUUUCCAUUUGAAUACAUAUUAUAAUAAUCAACAUCAUGAAAAAUUAAUGAUAAAUUAACUGAAAAUUUCAAGUGAUAAUAUUUUAUGCAUAAUUUAAUCUAAAUUAUGUAAAUACAUCUAUGUGAAUAGAUGCAGAAAAUAAUGAGUAAGAUGCUAACAACUACAUCUUGGUGGCUUUCUCUUACUGGUAUUUCCCAUGCACUCUCCAAUUUCACUUCUACUUUUAGGGCUUAGCUCUGCUUCUUUUCUACUUUGCAAGGGUUGAGUCUCUGAUUUUCAAGGUUUUGGCUCUUGUUGAAUGACACGAGAAGUGAUUAUAAUGUUGUAUGCCCUGAAUGCAUGGUGCUGUGAGGAUGUGGUGACUUUAUCGAGUCAGAGAAGAAAGGCAAGGGAGUGAAGAGUUUGAACAUCUGUUACGUAUCAGAUUGCCUCAUUUGAUUUUUUCAAAUCACCUCUUAAAUAAAAUGUUCUAAUCCCCACUUUCCAUGUGAGCAAAUUGAGAUUCACCCAAGCGAAGUCAAUCAGUCACCUCCUGUAGGCUGCACAGCAAGUAUGUGGCAGAGCUGGGAUUUGCACCAAGGUCAAUUUGGAGCCAAAGCUCACAGGCUUCUCCUCACAUCAGGCAGGCUCUAGGGACGUGGAUG
rnacentral:lncRNA from 10 species